GCUGGAAGCAGUACUCAGCAACCACAGAAAACAAAAUCCCAACAACCUCUGAUACCAGCUGACUGUAAAACCAAAGCUCUCUCUGAGCAAUUAGUUGAGCUUGGUGAUCCUGAAUCUAAGCUGUUGAGUCACACAGUGAAGUUUCAAGGAGAGGAAAAGACCUUCUUCUACAAGGCCCCUACACAACUAGCUUUUGAUGAAGCAGUUGCAAAGAAUCUGUUCGAAGAGGAAAAUCCAGGGUUAUCACUUGAAGACAUCAGAAAAGAAGAAGAGAGGUUGGCUGCUGAGAUCAAGAAGAACAGAG
rnacentral:lncRNA from 1 species